AUUGAACGCUGGCGGCAGGCCUAACACAUGCAAGUCGAACGAGUGGCGGACGGGUGAGUAAUGUCUGGGAAACUGCCCGAUGGAGGGGGAUAACUACUGGAAACGGUAGCUAAUACAGCAUACCAUCGGAUGUGCCCAGAUGGGAUUAGCGAGUAGGUGGGGUAACGGCUCACCUAGGGGACGAUCCCUAGCUGGUCUGAGAGGAUGACCAGCACCACUGGAACUGGUACACGUUCCAGACUCCGACGGGAGGCAGCAGUGGGGAGUAGUGAACAAUGGGCGAAAGCCUGAUGCAGCCAUGCCGCGUGUAUGAAGAAGGCCUUCGGGUUGGAAAGUACUUUCAGCGAGGAGGCGUUACUCGCAGAAGAAGCAUCGGCUAACUCCGUGCCAGCAGCCGCGGUAAUAC
rnacentral:rRNA from 1 species